UAUAGGAGAUGUGUAACAAGAUUGUAUAUUUGAAGAUUUUAAUUUUAAUUAAUUUUUAUAAGUAUUGAUUUCAGAUACAUGUAUGACAUUGCAUGCUUGGUGGGGGGAGGGGGGGGGGGGGGGGCUACAGUUAGAUAAUAUUCUGGUCAGCACAUUCGAUAAACUACAUGGAAUUCAUUAAAUCACUUCUUUUUCUUUCAGUGGUCUUCAACUUUUAAUCUCCAAGAAGGAAAUGUAAUUAAAAGAUGAAUAAAGUAUCCCUAAGAAUAUCAGAAGAAAGGCUAUGUGUUGAGAAAAACAGCCCUUCCUCAGUACUUCAGAACUAGAUGAUAGCCCUUAAUUGUUACUUUAUGCUGAAUAUGACACAGUAUAGAAGAUCUGACCAUGAAGAAGUAACACCAUUGAUACACUUGCCAACUGCCAAAAUUACUUUCUGAUAGUAUGACGAGAUUAGAAGAUAUCAUGGUGUAGUCAUGACACAAACUGCAAAUCAAAGAAUUAAUUGUCUUCCCCAGAGGAUGAACAGAGCACGAUGGCUUCACAUGGAUAACAUUUCCUUUCGAGUUUUGAAAUUAAUUUGUCAGAAUGUUAUGCAUCGUUAUCAACAGAAAAGAACUUCAUAGGUAGACCAAAGCUGACAUGGGAUGAGAUCCUAGAACAAGACCUAGAGUUUACAGGAUUGGAUAGGAUCAAUCCACUGGGUCGCCAAGUGUGGAAGUACAAACUUCAACCUCGACAGGACAGCCAGGCCUCACCCUUGCAAAAAGAUUAAUUUGGCCUGGAUAGUCAAAAUGAGUGAUGAUGAUUGAUAUCAAGGUCUGACACUGGAAGCUCAGUAAGGGUAGAUGCUGGCAAUGGAGCUGUUUAGCAACAAAACAAACAAGUUUAACAUUAAACAUGUUUGUAUACUUUUUUGGCUCACCUGAGCCAAAGGCUCAAGUGAGCUUUUCUGAUCACCUUUGCCUGUCGUCUGUCUGUUUAUAAACUUUUCACAUUUUCAUUUUCUUCUCCAGAGUGAACCACUGGGCCAGUUUCAAUCAAACUUGGUAUGCAUCAUCAAUAGAUAAAGGGUAUUCAAGUUUGUUCAUAUAAAGGGUCAUGCACCCUUCAAAAAGGAAAUAAUCAUGGAAAUGCAAAAAUAGGGUGGGGUCAUUUAAAAAACCUUUUCAAGAACCACUGGACCAGGAAAGUUGAAUUCACACGAAAGGUUCCUGUUUUGUGCAAAUCAUGGUCUCUGGGGGUAGGGUGGGGUCACAAUAGAGAAUCAAAGUUUUACAUUCAUAUAUAGUGCAUAUUCAAGUUUGUAAAAAGCUCACAGGGGUAGGGUGGGGGUCACAAUAGGGGAUUUAAGUUUUACAUGUGAAAUAUAUACAAGGAAAAUCUUUUAAAAUCUUCUCCUCAAAAACUAGAUGCAGAACCGUAGCUCUUUGAAAAGAGAGCUUCAGAUGAACCCCUUAUAAAAAAAAACUUCAAUUUAUGGCAGAGAAAAAAAGUGCAUGUUUAAGUCCCUCUAUCACUGCAUUCCUGCAUCUCUGUCUCAUGAAUUUAAUAUUAAAUAAUUCCCAACAUAUUUUCCCACUAUACUUGUUUCCAAACAUACUUUCAAAUAUUUUCUAAACCCACAUAUAACCCCAAAACAGCUUCAAGUGAUUUCAAUUUCUUUGUUGAUGUAGCCAUGUUAAGUAGCCAGUCAAUUUGAACCCCAGUUCAUUUCCAUACUCAUACUCAUUUUGAAACAUAAUGUCUGUGUGAACUAAUAUCCUCACAAAUAUUUUUAGUGAAAUAUUUUGGAUGAAAUCAUCCCAGUUGGGUUAAAUACUUAUUAUUCAAAUACUGUAGGUUUGAAUAUUGAACUAAUCUCACAGCUUUCUUAAGUUUGGUCCCCAUCCCCACCAGUCUGUUUUUACGCUUAACUAUUGAAAUGGAGUGUAAGGGAUCAGACUAGGCUUUUAUAGCAUUAUCAAUUUUCAAAAGCUUUAGAAAAAUUAUACAAUUUUAGGUCACUUGAGUAAACUCAGAUGACAUAUUGCUAUUGAUCUGCAUCUGUUGUAGUCCGUCGACAUUAACAAUUGAACAUUUUUAACUAAAUUCUAUAACUGAAA